GCCGAACUGAGAGGUUGAUCGGCCACAUUGGGACUGAGACACGGCCCAAACUCCUACGGGAGGCAGCAGUAGGGAAUCUUCCACAAUGGACGCAAGUCUGAUGGAGCAACGCCGCGUGAGUGAAGAAGGUCUUCGGAUCGUAAAACUCUGUUGUUAGAGAAGAACACGAGUGAGAGUAACUGUUCAUUCGAUGACGGUAUCUAACCAGCAAGUCACGGCUAACUACGUGCCAGCAGCCGCUGUAAG
rnacentral:rRNA from 1 species